AUAAUCAUUUGCCUUUUAAAUGAAGGCUAGAAUGAAAGUACUGACGAGGGGCCACUGACUCAACCUUGGCACCCGAACUUGACCUCGGGGUCAAAACGCCCCGAUAUACUAGAAGGACGACAAGACCCUAUAAAACUUCACUACCCUUAGCCAAUAUCCCAAGAUCAUUAGUAAAGCUGGACGUAGUUUAGCUGGGGCGGCCGACCCUCUCCGGGAUUGGAAUACAACACCGUGUGUGACCUCUCGAACAUAUUUUAAUAGAAAGACCAAGUUACUUUAGGGAUAACAGCGCAAUAACCCCGAAGAGCCCCUAUCGAUGGGGUUGUUUGCGACCUCGAUGUUGAAUUGGAGUCCCCCUCGGAGCAGCCCCCGGGGAAAGGGGGUCUGUUCGACCUUUAAUCCUCCACGUGAU
rnacentral:rRNA from 1 species